rnacentral:rRNA from 1 species
CGGCAGCCCGAGUGGUGAUCAUUAUUAUUGGGUCUAAAGGGUCCGUAGCCGGUUUGAUCAGUCUUUUGGGAAAUCUGACAGCUUAACUGUUAGGCUUCCAAAGGAUACUGUCAGACUUGGGACCGGGAGAGGUAAGAGGUACUACAGGGGCAGGAGUGAAAUCUUGUAAUCCCUGUGGGACCACCAGUGGCGAAGGCGUCUUACCAGAACGGGUCCGACGGUGAGGGACGAAAGCUGGGGGCACGAACCGGAUUAGAUACCCGUGUAGUCC